CUCCACCCAAAGAAUUCUGAUAAAUUCAUUCACAAAAUACUCAUUAGGGUGUGUACAGACAGCUGCUUCCAUGGUAAUAUACACAGUCUAUUGCUUGAAUGGGUUGCCCUAAGGGACCUUGGAGACAGCC
rnacentral:snoRNA from 1 species